rnacentral:piRNA from 1 species
UAUGCCUAAGUUCUCUGAUCAUUGGGAAGCU